GAUGAACGCUGGCGGCGUGCCUAAUACAUGCAAGUCGAGCGAACAGAUGAGGAGCUUGCUCCUCUGACGUUAGCGGCGGACGGGUGAGUAACACGUGGAUAACCUACCUAUAAGACUGGGAUAACUUCGGGAAACCGGAGCUAAUACCGGAUAAUAUAUUGAACCGCAUGGUUCAAUAGUGAAAGACGGUUUUGCUGUCACUUAUAGAUGGAUCCGCGCCGCAUUAGCUAGUUGGUAAGGUAACGGCUUACCAAGGCAACGAUGCGUAGCCGACCUGAGAGGGUGAUCGGCCACAUUGGAACUGAGACACGGUCCAGACUCCUACGGGAGGCAGCAGUAGGGAAUCUUCCGCAAUGGGCGAAAGCCUGACGGAGCAACGCCGCGUGAGUGAUGAAGGUCUUCGGAUCGUAAAACUCUGUUAUUAGUGAAGAACAAAUGUGUAAGUAACUAUGCACGUCUUGACGGUACCUAAUCAGAAAGCCACGGCUAACUACGUG
rnacentral:rRNA from 1 species